UAAUGGUAACUUCUUGCUUUCCUUAAAUUUCGAUUGUUUUGGGUAGGAAAAGGGUAGAGAGAGAAAAUAGAUAUAACGGACUCUUCUAUUUUGUGGGAUUUUGAAUCGGAAAGUAGGGAUGAGUGGUAAACGUAAAAACAGGGGAGACUAUAACCACCAGAGUCCAGAACCGAAAGAAUUGCAACGUACAUAGAAUUGUCAUUCUCUUCGUGAAAAGAAAAAAAAAGAAGAGGGCAGGAAGGAUCAGCCAAGAAGAACCGACCCAUCAUUUCAGUGAGUAUCUGUUUACAACUUGAAAAUGGCUGCACACAAGAUGAUUCACCCCAAGGGGGCAACGGCUCAUGUUUCGCCAAUAGGUAUUGCCAAGGAGAUCUGCUAUGGGAUCAUAGCCGCAAUUGCCUUUGGUGGUGCAUGGAAGUGGAAACAGUGGGAAGGUCAACGAGAUCGUAAGCUAUUUUAUAGCCAAUUAGAGAAAGGUGAGAUCAGUAUAGUUAAAGAAGAUUAACUCUGCUUUCAACUUUGGAGCAGGAGAGAAUAAAUUUUUUGGUACUGAAACUUAAAAGCAACAUUUUUCGAUUACCCAUUUCUCAAUAUAAUGGGUUUCUGUUUCUUUAGAAUUAUGGCCAGACUGGUUUUUAAUACUCAAUAAAAUGUAUGUAAUAUUUGAUGAGUAGAAUAUCUAUCUGAUUUUGACAAAUAUGCUUAACAUACAAGCCAUAGUUGUCUAGGCAUCCCUGAAGCCAGCACUGGUUGAUCCAAUGUUGCAGCCAACAAUGUUAUGAAUGAUAUGAGCUGCAGUUCUUGAUCA